AGACUGAAAAGUACAAGGAAGCUCUGGAGAGUCGAAGAUAGUCAGAUAGAAAGUUGGAGAGGAAGUUCUAGAGAGUUGAAGAGAGUCAGGCAGAAAGUUGGAGAGAGCCGGACAGUUGUCAAGAGCCGAAAAGAGCCAGUGAGAAAGUUGUGGAGAGCCCAAGAGGAAGUUGUUCGGAGCGGCAGCACGUCAGACAGAAAGGCGCAGAGAUCUAGAUAGAAAGUUGUAGAGAGCUAACACAACAAAAAGCCACCACAGAAACCAUGAGAACCAAAGGAAAACAGACAACAGAUGCGAGCAGAACACAAGGCAGGAGAAUAACGGGCACACACCACAAUCUCAAACCAGCAAACACAUCACAGAUUACAGGAAAACAGCCCACACGGAAACAAUACACAGCUCAAUACCCGAAAAGGGAAGUCGAGGGACAUUGACAACUCGGUGGGCUGGGAAUGCAGACACGGUGGAAUGGAGGUUGUGUAGG